rnacentral:tRNA from 1 species
GUUCAGAUGACCGAGUGGUUAAGGUGAUGCCCUGCUACGACCCGUGUAGCCUCAGUCCAGGCAUUGUGCUUUGCACGCGGGUGUUCGAAUCGCCCUCUGAACG